GACAGAGGGGGCAAGCGUUGCUCGGAAUUACUGGGCGUAAAGGGCGCGUAGGCGGCCUGCUAAGUCGAACGUGAAAUCCCUGGGCUCAACCCAGGAACUGCGUCCGAUACUGGUUGGCUUGAAUCCGGGAGAGGGAUGUGGAAUUCCAGGUGUAGCGGUGAAAUGCGUAGAUAUCUGGAGGAACACCGGUGGCGAAGGCGGCAUCCUGGACCGGUAUUGACGCUGAGGAGGGAAAGCCAGGGGAGCAAACGGG
rnacentral:rRNA from 1 species